AAUACGAAGGGGGCUAGCGUUGCUCGGAAUCACUGGGCGUAAAGCGCACGUAGGCGGGUUGCCAAGUCGGGGGUGAAAUCCUGGAGCUCAACUCCAGAACUGCCUUCGAUACUGGCAAUCUUGGAGUCCGGGAGAGGUGAGUGGAACUGCGAGUGUAGAGGUGAAAUUCGUAGAUAUUCGCAAGAACACCAGUGGCGAAGGCGGCUCACUGGCCCGGUACUGACGCUGAGGUGCGAAAGCGUGGGGAGCAAACAGGA
rnacentral:rRNA from 1 species